CCAUUCACACAGCGGUGUAGUCUAUGUGAGACACAGGUACCCACUAAGAAAGCGCCUGGAUUUCCAUAUACCCACUUAAAAAUGCCCAAUAACAUGCAACAACAUAUUUCC